GACAGAGGGUGCAAGCGUUGUUCGGAAUUACUGGGCGUAAAGCGCGUGUAGGCGGCCCUGCAAGUCGGAUGUGAAAUCCCACGGCUCAACCGUGGAAGUGCAUUCGAAACUGCAGGGCUAGAGUCCUGGAGAGGAAGGUGGAAUGCUUGGUGUAGAGGUGAAAUUCGUAGAUAUCGAGAGGAACACCGGUGGCGAAGGCGGCCUUCUGGACAGUGACUGACGCUGAGACGCGAAAGCGUGGGGAGCAAACAGG
rnacentral:rRNA from 1 species